rnacentral:rRNA from 1 species
GUGGGGAAUAUUGGGCAAUGGGGGAAACCCUGACCCAGCGACGCCGCGUGAGGGAAGAAGGCCUUAGGGUCGUAAACCUCUGUUGUGUGGGAAGAAGAGCGUGACGGUACCACACGAGGAAGUCCCGGCUAACUACGUGCCAGCAGCCGCGGUAAUACGUAGGGGACGAGCGUUGUCCGGAUUUACUGGGCGUAAAGGGCGCGUAGGCGGUCAUUUAAGUCAGCUGUGAAAUGGUUUGGCUUAACCGGAUCAUGCGGUUGAAACUGGAUGACUGGAGUGCGGGAGAGGCAAGUGGAAUUCCCAGUGUAGCGGUGAAAUGCGUAGAUAUUGGGAAGAACACCGGUGGCGAAGGCGACUUGCUGGCCAGCAACUGACGCUGAGGCGCGAAAGCCAGGGGAGCAAACGGGAUUAGAAACCCGUGUAGUCC